rnacentral:lncRNA from 1 species
GAAAUACACAACUUAUCAUACAUCCAAUACAUAAUCAACAAAUCAUAAUCACACAUCCAUUCACAAUAAUAUGCACAUAUAUAUGUAAUGCGACUUACGAUACAAUGUGACACUUAUGCAUGUGGUACCAUCUCAACAUUUGGUUCUCUUUGGAAUCGGGUCCCUCCUUAUGAACCCAUGAGCCCCCAUUUUGAGCUUGGGACAAGCCACUAGUCCCCCCUUCUAAACUAGUUAAUAUGUAUCUUUCAACGACAUGGCACAAUGAUGCAUGUCCAUACAAAUCAAUGCAACAACAAUAAUAACACUUACGGCCUCUUCUAACCAUAAACAACAUGCAUUGACACACAAUAGUAAUCCCUUUUCUGAAUUACUAUCCAUCAAUAACACCAACAAUACAUAAUUAAUCACCAUAUAGUCAUGCAUUUUAUAACAAUAUGAAUCAUAUCCACAUCAUAUAACAACACAAAACAGCAUCAUACGCAUCUCAUACCAUUGCUACAUAUAAACAACAACAGGUAAGUAAGGAAAUUACCAAUGAACAACAAUAAUUCCACCAUAAUUAAUUAAAUUCAUGACAAUUAAUUAACUACUGACACCAAAAUGUUCAAAUAGUAGUCAUACAUCACCCAAACAACAAUAACACCUCAAAAGUCUGAACUGACAACUCAGACCAUGCAACAGGAACGACAAUGCCCCUUCUGACAACAUGACGGGUGAUCCGGCAUCCUGGUGACGCUCGUCACAUGCUUACAACUCCCAUGCCGUCAUCAUAGUGAAAAUCGUCUUGGAAAACCAAGCCUGGAGACCAUGACGAUCUCCCUGUCAUAGAGCUGACGCCCGUCAGCAUCUCAAGGUGCAUGAUGGGUAACUCGUCAUCUGGGUGACGCCCGUCACCCUGCACCAGAAGGAAAAAACACUAAUUCUUCCAUGAGAGUUACCUUGAACUUUGAUUUAUGAUCCCUAAUCAUUCCCACACGCCCAAAAAAUGAUAAUGCAUGUAAUAACAUCAUUAUAACAUACCAAAUCAUUGAAUUACACAAAUUAUUCAUGAACUUCAACACAUUCAUGUUUAUGUUCAAACCUUCAACAACCCCAACAAUGACAUACAAACAUAUACACAUAAACAUAAUCAUAUAUACACAAAUCAAAUCACGAAAUUUAGAUGAACACACCUUUAAUUAUCAAUUUCCAGAACCACAUAUAACAACAACAAUUCAUAAGCAUUUCACAUAAUUCCUAAAGAGAGUAAGAGUAUCUCUUCUCUAUCUUUUCAUGCAAUACAUGCAUAUAGAAGCCCCCUCCCCCCCUUUAUGUUAGGUUCCUUGCAAAAAUCUGAAUUGGUGAUGGUGUGUUCUUCCCUUUCCAAGCCCUAGUCUCAUUUGCUCUUCCAAACUCUAUUUAACGUACUGACAACCCUUAGGUCUCUAAUCCGUUUUUAUCUAAUUUAAUCUUUAGGUAAUUAUACUAAGACCCAAUUCUUUUUAAAAUUUUCACUAUUUCCCUUUUGUUCCUAUUUUCCACCCAUAAACUUAUAUUUCUAUUUAUUUUAAUUAAUUAAUAAAAACAAUUAUUCAUUCUAAUUAUUUAUAAUUAUUCUAAUUCUCCUAAUCCUUCUAUCACCCCAUCAAUGCUCUCACCACACCCUACCACAUAUACAUACCACUCAAUAUAUUUAAUUAAAAAUAUAUCACAUACUAAAUAAUUAAAUAAAAAUACGAAUAAUCUGACUAAAUCAAUUAAUCAAAUCUAGGGGUGUUACAUAGUUGAAGAAGAAGAAGAAGAUGAAAGUGAUACACAGUCUGAUUAUCUGUUGAACACCAACAGUGAAGAUGGUAAUCAUCAAGCGCCAUUACCUCCAAGUCACGUAUAUUGUCUACCACAAUAUAUGACAAACUUGAACUUGAAUGGUGAUGAGUCAUCCUCUAAUAUUUUUUACAAUCCAUAUAUGCGGUUAGAGGGUGAGUUAAAAGUGGGAGACAGGUUCCACACUAAAGAAGAGUGAAUGUGAGCUAUCAAAAAAUUUCACAUGGAGAACUCUGUUGAUUAUACCGUAGAUCACACUAAUGCAAGAAGAUAUGUCAUUCUUUGUCGUAAUGUGCUUUGCAUGUUUCGACUAGCACCGUCUUACAGGAAGAUAAUUGAUUCAUGGGAGAUAAGUUAUAUACAUUUAUCUCACAAUUGAACCGCCACUAUUAUUGCACAUGAUCACCAUAAAUUAAACUCUAAAAUAAUAUGUCAAGACAUUUUGUCUUUUGUUAGCAAGGAGCCAUCAAUGAAGGUAAGUAUACUAAUCUUUCAUAUUGUUACAUGAUAUAAUUAUAAUCCCUCAUACAAGAAAGUGUGGAUUGCAAGAAAAAAUGCUAUUGAACGAGUAUACGAAAAUUAGAAGGAUUCGUACAAAAAAAAAUCCACAAUAAUUGGUGACACUUAAGACAUAUACUCUGGGAACUGUUACAAUUUUGAAGACACGGUCGGCAUAUACGCCGUACAGAACUUGUGUCAGUGGAAAUAUAAUAUUUCAUCGAUUCUUUUUAGGCAUUUCAACCAUGCAUCAAAGAUUUUGCGUUUUGCAAACUUAUUCCUAAAAUUGAUGGAACAUGGUUGUACGGGAAAUACAAGGGCACAUUACUUAUGACAGGGGCACAAGACGACAACAAUAAUAUAUUUCCCAUUGCCUUCGCUCUGAUUGAAGGUGAGACUUUGAGUGGUUAGAGUUUCUUUCUCAAGAAUCUCAUAACAUAUGUUGCUCCACAAUCCAACCUCUGUUUGAUUUCAGACAGACAUGCAUCUAUUGAGAGUGUGUAUAAUAAUCCUGAGAAUGGAUGACAAAAUCCUCCUUCUAGCCAUGUCUACUGCAUUAGACAUAUUGCACAAAACUUCAUGCGAGAAAUCAGAGACAAGAACCUUUGGAAAAAAUGUUGUGAUUGUAGUGUACUCCCUCCGUCCCAUAUUAUAAGCAAAUUUCACCUUUCUAGAUUCAUUAAAUAAUUAAUGUAUCUGGUUUAUUAUAUAGAUCAGAUACAUUAAUUAUUUAAUGAAUCUAAAAAGGUGAAAUUUACAAAUUUCACCUUUCUAGAUUCAUUAAAUAAUUAAUGUAUCUGGUUUAUUAUAUAGAUCAGAUACAUUAAUUAUUUAAUGAAUCUAAAAAGGUGAAAUUUGCUUAUAAUAUGGGACGGAGGGAGUAUGCUUUAAUUCAGCCAUCAUUCCGACACUAUCGUAGGGAAAUUAGAUUGUCAAAUGCGGAUGCAUUAAUGUGUGUGGAUAACAUUCCAUUGGAGAAGUGGAUAAUGGAAUUUGACGAAGGACGCCGAUGGGGCCACAUGACAAUAAACCUUGUUCAGUCCAUGAACAACUUCUUCAAAGACAUUAGAAACCUAUCAAUAAUCGCGUUGGUGAGAGCAAUAUAUUUUAGGUUGGGAUCACUUUUUACAUCCAUAGGCAAAAAAUGGAGUUCGGUGUUACGGUUGAGACAAUUAUUCAGUAAAAGUUGCAUGAAAGUGAUGAAGGGGGAAACUAUCAAAGCUAGCACACAUGGGGUUACAAUCUUUGACCGUCGUAGACACAGUUUUAGUGUAAAAGAAAUAAUGGACCACAAUGAGGGGAGGCCGAAUGAAGACUAUCAGAUCGAACUAAAUAGAGGUUGGUGCGAUUGUGGCAAGUUUCAAGCCUUAUGUAUGUCUUGCUCCGAUGUCAUUGCGACAUAUUCAUAUGCUCGCCAUAACACUUCCAAGCAUGUAUCUGCCGUUUACAAAGUCGCAAAUGUAUUCAAUGUAUACAACAAUAACUUCCCGAUGAUAGUAAAAGGGGACUAUUUACCUACAUAUCAAGGGAACAUAAUUUGAUGCGAUAAAAAUAUGCGACAGAAGAAAAAAUAUCGCUCCAACAGCACAUAUAUUAAAACAAAAAUUGAUAUAACUAAUAAAAUGGUAAUAUUAAAAUAAAUUUGCAUGAUAAUUUUUUUUCUUUAAAUUUUUAUAACCUUAUUAUUUUAUAUAUAUAUAUAUAUAUAUAUAUAUUAAUUUUUGGUUACAACAAAAAUAACAUAAACACUCUAUCAAUAAUUAAGUUAAGAAAGCAUAAAAUUAAUUAAGCUUAAUCUUUAGUAUAUUUAAUAAUCCAAUAAAGAAAAUUUAAAAACACAUUGAAAUAUCAACACCGUUUGAUUUCCAUCAAACAAAAGCACUUGAAAUCUCAACUCCAUGAGACACACAAUUUCACAAAAUCUCAAAUCUCUUAUCCAACCCAAGUGAGAUAACAAAACACAAAGUAUCAUAAAUCACCACCAAUAACAACAAUCCAUCUCAGCAUCUUUACUUCUCUCACCUUAUCCAAAAUCCAUUUUCCCACCACCAAUUUCUCUCCACACAGAAUCUAAAAACCUUCUCUUCUUCUCUUUCCAAUAUCAUCACACAAAUCAAAUCCAUCACACACAAACACCAUUCUUUUUUCCUCACAAAAAAAUGUCUCUCACCAUUCCAACUAACCUCUCGAAACCCACCUCAACCCUAAGACCCAAACUCACCCAAAAACCAAAACUCUCCACCAUCAUCCACUGCAGCACAAACCAAACCCCAAACAAUCAAACCGACCAUGCAAACUCAAAUCUAAAAGCCUUCUCCGCUGCACUAGCCCUCUCCUCAAUCCUCAUCUCAUCCCCACUCCCGGCCGUCGCCGACAUCUCCGGCUUAACCCCAUGCAAAGAAUCAAAACAGUUCGCCAAACGCGAAAAACAGUCAAUCAAAAAACUCGAGUCCUCCCUCAAGAUUUACGCUCCCGACAGCGCUCCGGCGCUGGCGAUAAACGCGACCAUUGAGAAAACAAAGAGAAGGUUUGACAAUUAUGCGAAACAAGGUCUGCUGUGUGGCGCUGACGGGUUAC